rnacentral:rRNA from 1 species
AGAGUUUGAUCCUGGCUCAGGAUGAACGCUGGCGGCGUGCCUAAUACAUGCAAGUCGAACGCACAGCGAAAGGUGCUUGCACCUUUCAAGUGAGUGGCGAACGGGUGAGUAACACGUGGAUAACCUACCUCAAGGUUGGGGAUAACAUUUGGAAACAGAUGCUAAUACCGAAUAAAACUUCGUAUCGCAUGAUACAAGGUUAAAAGGCGCUACGGCGUCACCUAGAGAUGGAUCCGCGGUGCAUUAGUUAGUUGGUGGGGUAAAGGCCUACCAAGACAAUGAUGCAUAGCCGAGUUGAGAGACUGAUCGGCCACAUUGGGACUGAGACACGGCCCAAACUCCUACGGGAGGCUGCAGUAGGGAAUCUUCCACAAUGGGCGAAAGCCUGAUGGAGCAACGCCGCGUGUGUGAUGAAGGCUUUCGGGUCGUAAAGCACUGUUGUAUGGGAAGAACAGCUAGAGUAGGGAAUGACUUUAGUUUGACGGUACCAUACCAGAAAGGGACGGCUAAAUACGUGCCAGCAGCCGCGGUAAUACGUAUGUCCCGAGCGUUAUCCGGAUUUAUUGGGCGUAAAGCGAGCGCAGACGGUUGAUUAAGUCUGAUGUGAAAGCCCGGAGCUCAACUCCGGUAAGGCAUUGGAAACUGGUCAACUUGAGUGCAGUAGAGGUAAGUGGAACUCCAUGUGUAGCGGUGGAAUGCGUAGAUAUAUGGAAGAACACCAGCGGCGAAGGCGGCUUACUGGACUGUAACUGACGUUGAGGCUCGAAAGUGUGGGUAGCAAACAGGAUUAGAUACCCUGGUAGUCCACACCGUAAACGAUG